rnacentral:rRNA from 1 species
GACGAACGCUGGCGGCGUGCCUAAUACAUGCAGGUUGAGCGCUGAAGGUUGGUACUUGUACCAACUGGAUGAGCAGCGAACGGGUGAGUAACGCGUGGGGAAUCUGCCUUUGAGCGGGGGACAACAUUUGGAAACGAAUGCUAAUACCGCAUAAAAACUUUAAACACAAGUUUUAAGUUUGAAAGAUGCAAUUGCAUCACUCAAAGAUGAUCCCGCGUUGUAUUAGCUAGUUGGUGAGGUAAAGGCUCACCAAGGCGAUGAUACAUAGCCGACCUGAGAGGGUGAUCGGCCCCAUUGGGACUGAGACACGGCCCAAACUCCUACGGGAGGCAGCAGUAGGGAAUCUUCGGCAAUGGACGAAAGUCUGGCCGAGCAACGCCGCGUGAGUGAAGAAGGUUUUCGGAUCGUAAAACUCUGUUGGUAGAGAAGAACGUUGGUGAGAGUGGAAAGCUCAUCAAGUGACGGUAACUACCCAGAAAGGUACGGCUAACUACGUG